GAUGAAGAACGUAGCGAAAUGCGAUAAGUAAUGUGAAUUGCAGAAUUUAGUGAAUCAUCGAAUCUUUGAACGCAUAUUGCGCCCGCCAGCACUCUGGCGGGCAUGCCUGUUCGAGCGUCAUUUCAACCCUCAGGCCUCGCGUCUGGCGUUGGGGCGCUGCGGCCCUCCCGCAGGCCCCCAAAUUUAGCGGCGGAUUCCCCGCGGCCCUGAGCGCAGUAGAGAGUAAAAACUUUAACGCUCCGGCGGCCGUGGCGCGGUUCUGCCUCUUUCCCAAUAGCGACAAUAGCGCCACCCCCAAAAAAGUUGACCUCGGAUCAGGUAGGACUACCCGCUGAACUUAAGCAUAUCAAUAAGCGGAGGA
rnacentral:misc_RNA from 1 species